rnacentral:rRNA from 1 species
AGAGUUUGAUUCUGGCUCAGAACGAACGCUGGCAGCGUGGAUUAGGCAUGCAAGUCGAACGGGAAGCCCUUUUUUCAAUUCUUCGGAAAAGUUAAUUGGGUGGAGAGUAGCGAAAGGGUGAGUAACGCGUGGGCAAUCUGCCUUCGAGUUGGGGAUAACCCUCCGAAAGGAGAGCUAAUACCGAAUGUGAUACGGUGUCACCUGGCACCGAUAUUAAAGAUGGGGACCCUUCGGGGCCUGUCGCUCGUAGAGGAGCCCGCGUGCCAUCAGCUAGUUGGUAAGGUAACGGCUUACCAAGGCUUACGGCUAGCCGGCCUGAGAGGGUGAUCGGCCACACUGGGACUGAGACACUGCCCAGACUCCUACGGGAGGCUGCAGUCGAGGAUCAUUCGCAAUGCGCGAAAGCGUGACGAUGCGACGCUGCGUGGAGGAUGACGGCCUUAGGGUUGUAAACUCCUGUCAUUCGGGAAAAAUUAUCCCGCGAUUAAUAUUCGCGGGAUUUGAUGGUACCGGAAGAGGAAGCCACGGCUAACUCUGUGCCAGCAGCCGCGGUAAUACAGAGGUGGCGAGCGUUGUUCGGAUUUACUGGGCGUAAAGCGUACGUAGGUGGUACUGUAUGUCGGAUGUGAAAGCCCAUGGCUCAACCAUGGAAUUGCAUUCGAAACUGCAGAACUAGAGUGCAGGAGGGGAGAGCGGAAUUCUUGGUGUAGCGGUGAAAUGCGUUGAUAUCAAGAAGAACACCGGUGGCGAAGGCGGCUCUCUGGAAUGUUACUGACACUGAGGUACGAAAGCUAGGGGAGCAAACAGGAUUAGAUACCCUGGUAGUCCUAGCCGUAAACGUUGCACACUUGGUGUGGGAGGUAUUGACCCCUUCCGUGCCGGAGCUAACGCGUUAAGUGUGCCGCCUGGGGAGUACGGCCGCAAGGCUAAAACUCAAAGAAAUUGACGGGGGCCCGCACAAGCGGAGGAGCAUGUGGCUUAAUUCGAUGCAACGCGAAGAACCUUACCUGGGCUUGACAUGGCGACCCUUCGGGGGUGGAAGUGAAAGCUUCCUUUACGAUCACAGGUGCUGCAUGGCUGUCGUCAGUUCGUGCCGUGAGGCGUUGGGUUAAGUCCCGCAACGAACGCAACCCCUGUGGUUAGUUGCCACUCCAGGUUCAGCUUGGAAGCACUCUAGCCAGACUGCCUGUACAAGCAGGAGGAAGGUGGGGACGACGUCAAGUCAGUAUGGCCCUUACGUCCAGGGCUGCACACGUGCUACAAUGGCCGGUACAAUAGGCAGCAAUACCGCGAGGUGGAGCUAAUCCCCAAAACCGGCCUCAGUUCGGAUUGAAGUCUGCAACUCGACUUCAUGAAGUUGGAUUCGCUAGUAACGCCGUAUCAGCUACGACGGCGUGAAUACGUUCCCGGGCCUUGUACACACCGCCCGUCACAUCAUGAAAGCCGUCUGCACCCGAAGUCGCUGAGCCAACUAUUUAUUUGGAGGCAGGUGCCGAAGGUGUGGGUGGUGAUUGGGAUGAAGUCGUAACAAGGUA